rnacentral:rRNA from 1 species
GGCUCAGGAUGAACGCUAGCGGCAGGCCUAAUACAUGCAAGUCGAACGGAGUAGCAAUACUUAGUGGCAAACGGGUGCGUAACGCGUAAGCAACCUGCCUCAUACUGGGGGAUAGCCCGGCGAAAGCUGGGGUAAACCCGCACGGUUCCCCUUUGUCACCUGGCAGGGGGGAUAAACAUUUAUGGGUAUGGGAGGGGCUUGCGUCUGAUUAGCUGGUUGGGGGGGUAACGGCCCACCAAGGCGAUGAUCAGUAGGGGUUCUGAGAGGAUUGGCCCCCACAUGGGUACUGAGAUACGGACCCAACUCCUACGGGAGGCAGCAGUAGGGAAUAUUGGGCAAUGGAGGCAACUCUGACCCAGCCAUGCCGCGUGCAGGAUGACGGCGCUCAGCGUUGUAAACUGCUUUUA